GUUCCACAGCCACCUCCACGACGUCAUGCAAGAUCCGCCGCCGAUGGCGCCCCUCGUCAGCAGCGCUCAGGGAGAGGACGGGGCUACGGCUGUCGCGUCGUAGCCAGGGAGGUGGAGUCCGGCGUGAGCCCAGGAGCCGGAGCGGAGGACGGGGCGGUGCUUCUCCAGUGCUGCAACAAAUUGGCGAAGGAUCCGGCGAGCCACCGCUAGUGGCGUCCGAGCGCGGGCCUGGGGCGAAGGCGGCGGAGAUGCGGGGAUGGUGGCGCCGGAUCCGGUCGCCUCCGUCGGUGCGCUGGCUUCGGCCGCUUCCGUCGGAGCGCGGGCUUCGGCCCUCCGAUGGAGUGCAGGCUUCGGCCGCCUCCGAUGGGGCGCUGGCUUCGGCCAUCUCCGUGAGGAUCACCUCCCACUCGGCCAUUGCCGGAACAGGGCCAUAGCCUGGAGGCGCAAGGGGCUCUUCGUCGGCAGGCGUCGGUGUUGGGAGAUCCGGGUAAGUGUCCCCUCCGUCGAUCUCUGAUUCCAGUGGUGGAUUGGCCGGGUUUGAAGGGCAUGGCCCGUAUCUGUGCACAGGACAGAAGAUCCCCCCUGUGUAUUCCAGUUGCCAAUCCAUGUGUGGAGCGACAAAGGCAGGCGGGGCGACGAAGUCCGGCAUUGGAGGUGCCUGGUAGGCAUGGUGGACGGCCGUGGGUGGGUGGCUUGGUCCUGCUGCUGCGGAUCCAUGGUGGUCGUGGUGACCAUGACGCCCACGGCGACCACGGCGGCCGUUGCCAGAGCCCCAAUGGCGAUGAAAUCCAAGACCCUGGCUUCUUGCAUAUCGACGGAUUUCUCUUCCAAUGAAACGAACGAGGGCGGAGGUGAUUCUGUGCAGGUUCAUCCCUGCCAUCUCACCUUUUCUCUUCGUCUCCGGUGCUCUGUCGGUAGGCUACAUGCUGAUAACAUGUGAAGAAAUGUAAUCAAACUCUGUUUUCAUUGAUGAAUGAACAUAUAUAUACAUGGGUAACAGUCGCUUCCAAAGAAUGCGACGGUACGAGGAGGCGG
rnacentral:lncRNA from 1 species